rnacentral:lncRNA from 1 species
AAGAAGAAAAAGAGCAUCACGUAGCGGGCAAUAGCCGUAACGCGCUAAAACUCGUGUAGGAAAAUCUUUUAUUUGGGGCCAAUCCAGGAAAGUAGCACCUGAGAGAGACAUAUAAAGGUAGGGUUUAAAAUUCCACAAGAGAGAGAAGAAAAAAAGAGAGGCUUACUUUUGAGCGUGUUCUUGUGGACUUGUUCCUUGUUCUACAGGUUUUGCUCGAUCGAUCGAUCCAUGGGAAAGAGGAGAGUGGAGAUCAACAUCAUCUCCGCCGAGGGCCUCAAGCUCUCGCCGAGCUUCGGUAAGCCUCACACCUACGCAGUGGUAUGGAUCCAUCCCUCCAAGAAGUUCUACACCCACGUCGACCAAGAGGGCGCCAAGAACCCCGUCUGGAACCAGAAGCUCGUCAUCAGCGCCGACACCUACUCGCUGGAGCAAGGCUCGGGCAAAUUCACCAUCGAGAUCUUCCACCGCGGCCACAUCCACGACAAGCCCAUCGGNN